rnacentral:lncRNA from 1 species
UCCCUCUUCUUCUGUUUCUAAUUUUAAGCUACAACGUGAGUACAUCGUCACCACUGAAGUCUUCCUUUCCGGACUUAGUUCUACACCAACUUGGUAUCAGAGCAAGAGGCUUUGCCCCUGCUGCCAAAGUCUGAUCCAGAUCAUCAGAGCCUUCCUGUGAAGACUGUGUUGGGCACCUCCAUCUCCCGGCUACUUCUUCCAAACUGAGAAAAAAAAAAGGAUUCCUCGCUCUCUCGGUUCUCACAAGAAGGGACAGAGGGG